GAUGAACGCUGGCGGCGUGCCUAAUACAUGCAAGUCGAGCGAACAGAUGAGGAGCUUGCUCCUCUGACGUUAGCGGCGGACGGGUGAGUAACACGUGGAUAACCUACCUAUAAGACUGGGAUAACUUCGGGAAACCGGAGCUAAUCCCGGAUAAUAUCUUGAACCGCAUGGUUCAAUAGUGAAAUACGGUUUUGCUGUCACUUAUCGAUGGAUCCGCGCCGCAUUAGCUAGUUGGUAAGGUAACGGCUUACCAAGGCAACGAUGCGUAGCCGACCUGAGAGGGUGAUAGGCCACACUGGAACUGAGACACGGUCAAGACGACUACGGGAGGCAGCAGUAGGGAAUCUUACGCAAUGGGCGAAAGCCUGACGGAGCAACGCCGCGUGAGUGAUGAAGGUCUUCGGAGCGUAAAACUCUGUUAUUAGGGACGAACAAAUGUGGAAGUAACUAUGCACGUCUUGACGGUACCUAAUAAGAAAGCCACGGCUAACUACGUG
rnacentral:rRNA from 1 species